AUGGUUCAGUCUGGACUCCCUGUUCAAACUGGAGGAGUCAGCUUACAUGCAUCAGAAAAGCAUAGUGAACAAUCUCUACUAAACAACAACUUGAUUGAGGAUAAGUGUAACCUUCGCUGCGCUGAUGAGAAGUCCUAUUGCCUGUACCAUAAGUUUCCAGCCAAAGUUAACAACAAUGUAUACCCGGAAAAAGGAACCACGAGACCCCCUAGGUACCCUGAUCAGCUUAAUCUUCUUAAUGGCGAAGAGAGGAUGAGGAUGAUGGCUGUAUCUACACAUAUAAAGGGGAAAACUUUGAGGCCAACCUCUCACACCUUAUUGACAUGUGCCUCAGUUGUGGGUUGCCUAACACGGAGCGUAGUGUUGACGGUCAGGAACUGUUGAAUGGUGUCCGCAGGCCUGACCCGCCUGAGCAGAAUAAUCUGUUCUCACCAGAAAUGGAUUUUUUAGAAAUGGACUUUGACCCUGGACCAAAUGGGAUGUGUGAUAGUAGGUUAGUUAGGGAAAAUGCUGCUGCCUUUAGUGUUGCCGGUGCUUUGAAUCCUAUAAGUGUUUUAGACAGAAAAGCAAAUAAUUAUUGUCCUGAAAUGAGGAACCUUAUGUGUAAACGGUGUGAAUCUAGUAUACGUGAUGGUAAAAUUGACAAUGUGGCCUUGAAUCUGAGUGUGCAUGAAAACUCUUAUGUUACUUUUGGUAGAGGCCCAAGUGCUGGCUUAGACGAUAGACCAGCAGUUGGGAGCAGUGUCCUCAAUGUGCCAAGAGAUGCAAUGAAUGUCCCCAAAGACCUAAAUGUAGAAUUAAAUCAGUUCAGUGAGGCAGGAAGUUGUCCAGAAAACCGAGCUGCGGCUCCACAACAGGAAGAAGAGUAUGAUCCUCCUGAUAAUGACAGUGUGGAGAACAACUUAGGAAUGGGUGACAUGGACAUGAUUGAUGAAGAUUUUGGCGAUGAAGCAGAUGAUGAAGAUGGUGAUGACAGCAAUUCUGAAAGAUACGAAUCAUCAGUAAGGUACCCCCAUGCUAACGGUAGCAGCACGGAAACGGCACUAAAGGAUGGCGAAGAUCCUUCAGUGAUCCAUAGUAGCUCAAGCAAAAGGCACCAGCAAGACCACCAACAAGUCGGGCAAGGGUCCAACAACAACUUGGGAUCUGUCUCUGCACCUGAGGUAAGCCCAGCCAAAGAGUACAGCCUCCUUGAAAAGUUUGGUCGCAGUGUCAGCUUCCACAAUCAGCUGUCCAGCCCUAAGUAUGAGAAUGUAUGUUUCUCUCACCGACCAAAGAAUGAAGAACGACAGUGUGAGCAACAGGCAGAGAGGAAUGGUGCACCACAAGCUGAGACAGCGAAUCUAGAAGCGUGUGUUGGGAGAUUACAUCGCAGAGAAAAUUCUGUCUUCAACAUCCUUUCAGAUCCAAGUGGAAAGGCAUCACAGAGUAUCAAGCUAGGUUGCGAUGGGUCUGUGUCCAGUGUCCAUGCUGAGAGCAGUAUAGGCUCCUCUAUCAAACGCUCAAGCCCUGCUCAGGGAGGCCAGGCGGCGUCGCCAACUAGUGGAAGUUACACAGCUGGCACCUCUCCAUCACCUUCAGUUGGUACCUCGAUGCUGGUAGGUCCUGGAGGAGUCUCCACUUGUUCCGUGGGAACUGGUGGGUCACCCUGCCCACUGCCUGUCAAGUCACUGCAGCCCAAGAACAGGAACCCCUCGCAGGAUCCAACACGGCAAGUGAAGGUGAGGGAGGUGGUGAAGAGAGCUGCCCUAGAGUGAAGAAGGUCAUGAUCUGGACAGAGCUCCAAGCAUCAGCACGGCAUGUCUCACAGAUUGCUCCCUCUGCCUGUGGUGCCACGGCAAUCAUCAAUGUUUUGCUUGCCUUAGACUACCCCUGUACAGUGGAGGAAGUGCAGGCGAGUAUCAAAACCAGGUUACGAGCAGAGACUGCGCCGGUCGUAGACUACCUGCUCUCCCGCUCUGUAGCUGGUACUACUCACAGGGAUCUUAUUGAUGGAGUGACCAAGCUGUCAAAGGGCACUGUGAAGGCCAAGUUCUUCCAUAUGUUUCCUAAAAGGGCUGUGCAGCUGUCUAGGUGGUUAGCCCAGUGGAUAAGCAGGGGUGGAGUGCCUUUGGCCACGUUAAAUUUGCAAGUGGGUGUUGCUCCAGGCCAGACAGUACCCGAUGCCUGGCACCAUCAGAUGAUAUUUGGUGUUGGUCCUCAGGGUAUCUACCUCACCAACCCAUUAGAAUGUGUCUCUGAUUCCCUACUUGGAGACCAGCUCUGCACAGACUCUGUGUUGUUGGUUCGCAGGGCUGACGUUGUAAAUAGAUGGGGCCAAGGUGAUAAGCUCAUCAGAUUGACCCAACAGCCUGACCCAAGAUGGAGAGAGAUGAAUGUUCUAGGUCAAGUAGUAGGUGUGUUAAAAGAACAAGCUGCACCUCCUGUGGUUCAAGGUCGUCGGCACUUGACUUCUCAUGUUGCCAUUCCAGCAGCAUACCAGUCUGGGGUCACCAUAUUUAUGCGUUCUGACAACCCUCAUAUUCACACCCUUACACAAGCAGAAGAGUUGCCAUUACUGGAGUAGCAAUGUUUUCUGUAUCAUGAUUAUAGCAAAGUUUUGCAGAUCCAACAGUCAAGUCUUUGUUUACAGAAAGAAUACUUCGGUAUAUUUGCUGGUGAGGGUGCAUCCCCCUCUUUCCUUUCCUUGUUAAUAGUUCUCACACUUCCUUAUAUGGUACAGAAGAGUGAGCUCUCCUUUGGGCAGUGAGGAGCUUUUGUGAUAGCAAAUUAUUUCUUGUAGAUAUAUCCCCCCCUUCACUUUUUAUUGGAUAUAGAAAACACAUUUAGAAAAAGACAUUCAUUGCUUGAUACUCUCUGAAUAAUCAAAUUGUGGAAGUGUAUACCAGAAAUUGAUGUAAUUAUUUUUAUGAUUGGUACUAUUGACGUUGUUGCUUGUCUUUCUUCAACUAUCAUUUGUUUAUAUGUAUAUAUUCUCUUUAUUUUUCCUUUUUUUUGCCAUUGACAUUUUCAUACUGUUAGGGAAACUGUUGUCAUUUUCAAUACUGAUGUUACAUCAAAUUGAGAUUCAUAACAUUUGAAGAAACAAAUCUGGCUGUUACUGAGAGCUCGAGUCCAGGGGGUUUAUGUGAUUUGUAAGGAACUUCUUCUACUCUGCUUUUCACUCAUGUAUCCAGUCUUGGUUAAAGGAAAAAAAAAACAGUAUAAUAGACUUUGUCCUGGCAUGUCAGAGGCUUCUGCAGUGUUUCUGUUUUAUUUAUUCUUUGCUUAUUUCUUGUUUUCUUUUCUUUUGCAAGGUUGUAGAUGCUUAAUAUCUUUUCUAAUGAUUGUGAUGGCUUGGGUUGAUGCAGAUGUCAGACCUGAAUUUCAUAGUUAAAUGCUGGAAAAGGACAUAUUAGUCGAGGAAUAACUUGAGUUAGAAAUCAAACCAGAGCACUUUGCUAAUUGCUCUUCAACGAUGGCAAGCGACAUAUUCAGUAGACACACUGUUGUAACUUCAAAGGGAGGAAGGUUUAUUAUAUAUAUAUAUAUUACUUUUGUAUAUUUUGGUCUAAUUUUGAAUAAUUUUCUUAUUACUACCAUAUUCAUGUCAAUCUUGUUUACUCUUCAUUUAUCUCUGUCCAGUUAUGGAAACAACUAAUAUGAACGUGACAGCUAAUAUUUCUGCUUCAUAUUUAUCAUUAAUAUUGUUGAUUUAACUGGACAACUAAAUAAACUCAGCCUUACAGGGGUGUGAGGCCUUGCGAAGGGUUCUUGGUGUAAAUUUUCUGUAUCAUAAUAUACCAAGUAAAAAAAAAAAAAAAGAAAAAAAAUGGAUUGAAUUAUUUAUUUUAUUACUGUAGAUAAAUGCUGCUCAUGAUGCAUUUUUAUUUUUAUUUUUUCUUAUCUAAAAGUAGAUCCAAAUUUUCCAAGGUUACAUCUCCCAAACCAAGUAUCAUUAUUCUGUACUCUUGAGAGAGUAUUUUGUAUCUAUUAUAAUUUUAUAUUGUAAAUAUAGUGAUGCCAAAAUCAAAUUUUAUGUACAAUUAUAAGGUAUGAUUGAGCUUUAUUUUUGUUGCCAUAUCUUUACUCUUUUAUGUUUUAUGAAUGCUGCUUCCAUACGUUUGUCUUGUUGAUAUUUAUUAUUAAAAUAUUAUAUUUGAAAUGUCUUGCAUAGAGAAAAAAGAUAAUUCGUUGACCCUGUUUCACAUAUGGUCCCCCAAUCCCCACCCUCCCAAUGAUAGCCAUUGAUAGGUUUUGUCUAAUCAUGGCUUUUUGAAAUAUAUUGCCUGUUAAGUGUGUGAGUUGUUUCCCAUAUGACAAUGUUAAUUACAGGCGACAAUAACAGCAUUCACGCUCAUGUGUUUUCACUCUCAAUCUUACUAGCUCCACGGAGGCUACAAAACACAGGACUUAACCCAGUUCAUGUUUAUGGGAUAAAACAUUCUUAAUGGAGAUCAAAACCACUUUGAAAAUAUUUAUGUGUAACAUUGUAUACAUGAUACAUUACGAACUUAAUCCUCUUAAGAGCAUUUGCUGCUGUUUCAGUGGGAUGUAGCAAAAAUCCAUCCCUGUACCUUUUUAAUGCAUAUAAUGAAGAGCUCAAGCCUAUUAUUCCCAGUUCAAGUUAAUAAGGGACUUCAUGAUCUUGACUAGUACACACUCUACAGUAUGGAAGUUAUAGCUUUAUUUCUGUUACCUUUCUGGGGAACCAUUUUGGGUUAGAUGGAUGUUCUUUGUUAGAGAUGCUAUCAUGCUGCUGUUAUGGAGAAGCAGAAGAUAUAUUAUCUGAUUGAAAUUAUCAGUCAUUAUGUGUCAUGGAAUCUAGAUCAUCUUAGGCAUUACAUAAUCACCUUGGCCUCAUGCUAUAAAAAUGAAUAAAUAAAUAUACAAACAGGA